rnacentral:rRNA from 1 species
GUGGGGAAUAUUGCGCAAUGGACGAAAGUCUGACGCAGCGACGCCGCGUGUGGGAUGACGCCUUUCGGGGUGUAAACCACUGUUGCCCGGGACGAAACUCCCCUUUCGAGGGGAUUGACGGUACCGGGUGAGGAAGCACCGGCUAACUCUGUGCCAGCAGCCGCGGUAAUACAGAGGGUGCGAGCGUUGUCCGGAAUCACUGGGCGUAAAGGGCGCGUAGGUGGCGAGAUAAGCGUGUGGUGAAAGCCCGGGGCUCAACCCCGUGUCUGCCAUGCGGACUGUCUUGCUCGAGCGUAGUAGAGGCAGGUGGAAUUCCGGGUGUAGCGGUGGAAUGCGUAGAGAUCCGGAAGAACACCGGUGGCGAAGGCGGCCUGCUGGGCUACUGCUGACACUGAGGCGCGACAGCGUGGGGAGCAAACAGGAUUAGAAACCCCGGUAGUCC